rnacentral:rRNA from 1 species
UACGUAGGGCGCAAGCGUUGUCCGGAAUUAUUGGGCGUAAAGAGCUCGUAGGCGGCUUGUCACGUCGGGUGUGAAAGCCCGGGGCUUAACCCCGGGUCUGCAUUCGAUACGGGCAGACUGGAGUUCGGCAGGGGAGACUGGAAUUCCUGGUGUAGCGGUGAAAUGCGCAGAUAUCAGGAGGAACACCGGUGGCGAAGGCGGGUCUCUGGGCCACUACUGACGCUGAGAAGCGAAAGCAUGGGGAGCGAACAGG